CUCGCCCUUGGGCCGUGAAGGGUCCUUCCAGAAAUGGGCCAAUGGGGAUCGGCCUGGUCUCUCCGCGUCACCAGUCUCCGGGCAGCCUCGCCCUGGCCUUCCCGCCCGCGGGUCAUGUGACGGGCUGAGUGACCGUUGGGAAGGCCGAGGCCUGAGCCGGGAGCGAGGGGGGAGGGGCGGGGAGGGGCGGGGCCUGCCUUCUUCCUUCCUUCCUUCCUUCCUUCCUUCCUUCCUUCCUUCCUUCCUUCUCUCCGAGCCCGAGCCUGCGGCCUCGUCCUCCGCCUCGUCAGUCCUGGUGAGUCUCGUUGCCAGGCCUCCUCCCGAGGGCCCAAGAGGAGCCAAGGCCCAAGGGAGGGAGGGAGGGAGGGAGGGAGGGAGGGAGGGGAGGCCGAGGAGGGCCCGGGCCUGGCCCACUCCCAGGCGGGCCUUCCUCUCUCGUUCUCUCCCUGGGAACACAGGCCACCACCGCUCUCUCUCUCUCUCUCUCUCUCUCUCUCUCUCUCUCAGCCAGGCCUGGGCAAGCUCCGGGCCUCCCUCCGGGGCGGGGUUUUGGACUCCAACUCCCAGAAGGCCUCCCCUCAGGCCCCGCAGGCCUCACCUUCACCUCCACCUCAAGACUGCGGAGAGAGAGAGAGAGAGAGAGAGAGAGAGAGAGAGAGAGAGAGAGAGAGAGAGAGAGAGAGAGAGAGAGAGAGAGCAAGGGACUGGGGAAGGGAGGUCAACAGACCAAGAGAAGGAAGGAAGGAAGGAAGGGCGCUCGGAAAGGGAGGGGCCCCCAGGGAUCAGCUGGCAUGGACAUUCACAACAGAGGGACAUGCAGACAAAGGGAGAACAACAACAACAACAACAACAACAACAAGAUUUGUAUCCUGCCACCAUCUCCCCCAGAGGGGACUCGGCGUGGCUCACAGAAAGAUCCCAUACAAAACAGGAACAAUAUACAAGACAGCAAUCAACAAGAAGCCCUGCUUGACUCUCAAGCCAAAAGUGGGUGGUAGAAAUCACAUGGUACAAAAGCUGACUGGCACAACCUGGGGAUCCCAACCAGGCCCUGUAAAGACAGGCGCUUGGCUCCUCUGCUGCUGAAUUCACAGGCCCAGUGGGGAAGACAUCUCACCACGUUCAAACAGUGGACGUGGCUCUUCAUGAGACAUGCCGCACCCUCACAGGAUGUCUGCGCCCCACACCACGGGAGAAAUGAUACUGUUGAGUCCCUCUGGGGAGAGAGGGCAGUCUAGAAAUGAAAUGAGGAAAUGUGAUUUUUGGCUGAGAAUUUCGGAGUAGAGCCUGUGGAGGGAUUUCUUUCCCUUGAAAGAAAGAAGAGGGAGGAAAAACAUUUUGGAUACGGUUGGGUUCUUCACCAGAGUGGUUCCAACAUGGAGAGACCCAACUCACGUGGGCCUGAAGCAGGACCUGGGGGCAGUGGGGAAUCCUGGGAAAGAACCAGACAUGAGUCCCUGAGUGUGGACCUUGACAGCUCGGACACACAGCGCCAGCGCUUCAGGCAGUCCUCCUACCAAGAGGGUGAAGGACCCAGAGGGGUUUGCAGUCGUCUCCACGAUCUGUGCCGCCAGUGGCUGAAGCCAGAGCAGCACACCAAGGCCGAGGUGCUGGACCUGGUGACCCUGGAGCAGUUCCUGAGCAUCCUGCCCCCAGAGAUGGGGAGCUAGGUCCGAGAGUGUGGGGCAGAGACCUGUUCCCAGGCGGUGGCCCUGGCGGAAGGCUUCCUACUGAGUCGGGCCGAGGACAAGGAGCAGGAAGGACAGGUGAGAGCAUUCCCUCUGGGUUUCACUAACCUGGGGGCUGAUGGACAGGUUAAGCUUGCAUCCUGCCUUUCUUCCAAGAUGGGACCGAUGUGGGGGAUGAGCAAGGCCCUGCUCCCUCGGCCUCUUUCCCCACCUGCUCUGCCCCUCCAUCUCUACCGUCAGCUUGGUUGAUGCUCUGCUCAAGAUAGAACAUAGACAAUGAUGGGAGGGGGAGGGGGGCAUUGGUUCCAAACUAGGUUCCCAUCUCAGAGUUAUUCUUUCAAGAAAGGUCUAUGGAUCUGUGAUAUUUCUGAACUUUUCCCAAACUCCUUCUGGAACACUCUGUGCUCUUCCAGGCCCAUAAUAAUAACUCCAUGGAAGUCCCUGCACCAGAGGAAUCUCCACCAGACACCACCCAGAGUCUCAGGCAGAAGGAGCUGAAGCGGGAAGGAGACGGGGCUGCCGCCUUGAAGGGUGAGAAGGAACUCUUCUGGGCGUUUUGGGGUUUUGUGCCAGUGGAAAUCCCGCUUUGGGGAAUUUACACAGUUUCAGCUUCAGAAGGUGAACAUUUUGGGUCAUUGAGAUUGGUAUAUAUCUUAAACUUAUGUACCUAUGUACUUUGAUAAGUAUUUUAUAGAAAUGUAGUUUUAAUGUGGAUCUUUUAUAGAAAUAUUUAUUUAUUAUUUAAUUUAUAUACUGAUCUUCUCCCCAAGGGGGACCCAGAGCAGUCUUACACAAUGGCAGAAUUAAAUGCCACAUAUAAUACAACAUGCAAAAAAAAAAAACCAAACAUAAAAGAAAAAUAAAAUCUGGUAUCCAAAUCAAAUUAAAACAAUUAAAACCAUGUGACCAUUACAACGGGGGAAGUUUUGAGCCAAAGUCAGAGCCCUAAUAUGCAUCUUUGUUGAAUUUUGGCAAUGUUCGUAUUUUUAAAAUUGUGUUGUAACCCGCCACAAACUGGAAGGACAGGCAAAUAAGAAAUAAAAUUAUUGUUGUUGUUU